AACGAACGCUGGCGGCAUGCCUAACACAUGCAAGUCGAACGAGACCUUCGGGUCUAGUGUCGCACGGGUGCGUAACGCGUGGGAACCUGCCCUUAGGUUCGGAAUAACUCCCCGAAAGGGGUGCUAAUACCGGAUAAUGUCUUCGGACCAAAGAUUUAUCGCCUUUGGAUGGUCCCGCGUUGGAUUAGCUAGUUGGUAGGGUAAAAGCCUACCAAGGCGACGAUCCAUAGCUGGUCUGAGAGGAUGAUCAGCCACACUGGGACUGAGACACGGCCCAGACUCCUACGGGAGGCAGCAGUAGGGAAUAUUGGACAGUGGGCGAAAGCAUGAUCCAGCAAUGCCGCGUGAGUGAUGAAGGCCUUAGGGUUGUAAAGCUCUUUUACCCGGGAUGAUAAUGACAGUACCGGGAGAAUAAGCUCCGGCUAACUCCGUG
rnacentral:rRNA from 1 species